GAUGAACGCUGGCGGCGUGCCUAAUACAUGCAAGUCGAGCGAACAGACGAGGAGCUUGCUCCUCUGACGUUAGCGGCGGACGGGUGAGUAACACGUGGAGAACCUACCUAUAAGACUGGGAUAACUUCGGGAAACCGGAGCUAAUACCGGAUAACAUGUUGAACCGCAUGGUUCAACAGUGAAAGACGGUCUUGCUGUCACUUAUAGAUGGAUCCGCGCCGCAUUAGCUAGUUGGUAAGGUAACGGCUUACCAAGGCAACGAUGCGUAGCCGACCUGAGAGGGUGAUCGGCCACACUGGAACUGAGACACGGUCCAGACUCCUACGGGAGGCAGCAGUAGGGAAUCUUCCGCAAUGGGCGAAAGCCUGACGGAGCAACGCCGCGUGAGUGAAGAAGGUCUUCGGAUCGUAAAACUCUGUUAUUAGGGAAGAACAAAUGUGUAAGUAACUAUGCACGUCUUGACGGUACCUAAUCAGAAAGCCACGGCUAACUACGUG
rnacentral:rRNA from 1 species